CUCCCACUCACCAGGCUGCAACCUCUGCUACAGCCCCGCGCCAUCAUGAGAUGUGAGUUGUUUCCAAAGAAGCUUAAAUCUGCGUUUUACGUGUGGAAGUUUGCAGCUGUAAUGGGAUUACGGUGUCGGCAGAGGGAGGGAAGUUUGCAGCUGUACUGGUUUGGGGGGGGUAGGAAGCAGCUGUUAAAAUAGAGGACUAAUGGUGAUUAAUUCUUAUUAUGUGUUUGAAGAUCGCACAAUGAGUUCAGGACCCAAACCUUCCCGCAGGGAAUAAACUGAAGGAGGAGGAUUUAAAAAGAGGGAAAAUAGAAGGGGAAUUUUAAUGUACGUUUGGCCUAAGUGGCCUGGUCUUAAAUCACUUGAUUAAUAUUUAAGCAUAAUUUAAAUCAGUGUUAUUAAGACAAAAAAAUAUCUAGCUCGGGAAACCUGUAAUUAAUGGGUGUUUAUGCAGAUUGGGAGAUCACCUGCACUCUUUCAAAAGUGCAUGCACAGGGACCAGACAGGAUGAAGACCCCAUCCCGCAUCCCAAUCUGUUCACGAGCCAUGGUCCAGCACUGAAGCUCCAGCAGCAGGAACAUCCCAACCUGACCUCAGCUCAGUGUACAGCCCCGGGGGAACCUGCUCCGUUUCCCACAUUCAGGGCAAUUCACAUCAGAGCCAGGUUAUUUGCUGCAAUAUUGCGUCUGAGUCCUACAGCCAGCUUGCAGAGAAAUGCAAUGUGCUGGGUAUUCUGAGGCUUCCCCAGAGCACAGCAGGUAGAAGAUAUGAGAUUUCUAUUUAUAUACUGCAGCCUGGCCAAGGAAGUGACAAUUUAACGGCAAAGGUAAGGGGAUGGGGUGUGAAGGUGCCUGCAAAGGCAGUGGUGCAGGCAGUGCAAGGUCCCCUGAGCUCCUGGGGGGCAGUGACCCACUUCGGACCAUGACGGGUCCCUGAGAGUGCCCGACCCUCUGUCUUCUCUCAGCUCAUUGACUUUGUGGCUUGACAACAUAGCAUGGCUCCUGCAGUCCUUCGGCAGAUCAAGAAAAACAAAGAAAAAUUAAAGAUGGUGAACAGCAGCUAUUAGGGUUGGAAGGGCAAACCUACAACAUGAAGAUCAUGUGGAUUCCACACUGGAGACCAAAAUAUCUCUUUUUACUCCUAGAUGAUGCAGAACUCGAGUUGGGAUAUUUUCAGCCAUGAGAACACUUUCACCUUAUUUCCGGGCUGUUUCUCCCUAAGGGCCGAAGUGGAGGUUCAGAAACUUCA
rnacentral:lncRNA from 1 species